rnacentral:rRNA from 1 species
AGUGAACGCUGGCGGCGUGCUUAACACAUGCAAGUCGAACGAAGAAAGCAAUUUCUUAGUGGCAAACGGGUGAGUAAUGCAUAGGAAUCUGCCUUAUAGUGGGGGACAACAGUUGGAAACGAUUGCUAAUACCGCAUAAUACCAUUUAUGGGAAAGUCGCAAGACGCUAUUUGAUGAGCCUAUGUCUGAUUAGCUUGUUGGUGGGGUAAUGUCCUACCAAGGCGAUGAUCAGUAGCUGGUCUGAGAGGACGAUCGGCCACACUGGGACUGAGAUACGGCCCAGACUCCUACGGGAGGCAGCAGUGGGGAAUAUUGGGCAAUGGGCGAAAGCCUGACCCAGCAACGCCGCGUGGUGAAUGAAGGCCUUAGGGUUGUAAACACCUUUUAUUAGGGAAGAUAGUGACGGUACCUAAUGAAUAAGCAUCGGCUAACUUCGUGCCAGCAGCCGCGGUAAU